GACGAACGCUGGCGGCGUGCUUAACACAUGCAAGUCGAACGGAAGGGCCCUGCUUUUGUGGGGUGCUCGAGUGGCGAAAGGGUGAGUAACACGUGAGUAACCUGCCCUUGACUUUGGGAUAACUUCAGGAAACUGGGGCUAAUACCGGAUAGGAGCUCCUGCUGCAUGGUGGGGGUUGGAAAGUUUCGGCGGUUGGGGAUGGACUCGCGGCUUAUCAGCUUGUUGGUGGGGUAGUGGCUUACCAAGGCUUUGACGGGUAGCCGGCCUGAGAGGGUGACCGGCCACAUUGGGACUGAGAUACGGCCCAGACUCCUACGGGAGGCAGCAGUGGGGAAUAUUGCACAAUGGGCGGAAGCCUGAUGCAGCAACGCCGCGUGCGGGAUGACGGCCUUCGGGUUGUAAACCGCUUUCGCCUGUGACGAAGCGUGAGUGACGGUAAUGGGUAAAGAAGCACCGGCUAACUACGUG
rnacentral:rRNA from 1 species